UACAGAGGUGGCAAGCGUUGUUCGGAAUUACUGGGCGUAAAGGGCGCGUAGGCGGCCUUCUAAGUCAGACGUGAAAUCCCCCGGCUUAACCUGGGAACUGCGUCUGAUACUGGGAGGCUUGAGUAUGGGAGAGGGAUGUAGAAUUCCAGGUGUAGCGGUGAAAUGCGUAGAUAUCUGGAGGAAUACCGGUGGCGAAGGCGACAGCCUGGACCAUAACUGACGCUGAGGCGCGAAAGCUAGGGGAGCAAACGGG
rnacentral:rRNA from 1 species